rnacentral:rRNA from 1 species
UACGUAGGGUCCAAGCGUUAUCCGGAAUCACUGGGCGUAAAGCGUGCGUAGGUGGACGUUUAAGUGUGGUGUUAAAUCGUGUGGCUCAACCAUAUCGAUGCAUCGCAUACUGGACAUCUAGAGGACAGCAGAGGCAAGUGGAAUUUGUAGUGUAGCAGUGAAAUGCGUAGAUAUUACAAGGAACACCAAUGGCGAAGGCAGCUUGCUGGGCUACUCCUGACACUGAGGUACGAAAGCGUGGGGAGCGAACAGG